rfam:Geobacillus sp. BCO2 LR69_contig000006, whole genome shotgun sequence.
GAAAACAAAAACAAUGGAAGCCCUGCCUCUCAUCCAUCCUUGCCGCUCCGUGGCGGCGCCAGUGUGAAUUUGUCAAGCGGACAGCGG